rnacentral:rRNA from 1 species
CUUCGGUGUCCGAGUUGUAAUCUCUAGAAGUGUUUUCCGCGUUGGACCGCACACAAGUCUGUUGGAAUACAGCGGCAUAGUGGUGAAACCCCCGUAUAUGGUGCGGACGCCCAGCGCUUUGUGAUACACUUUCAAUGAGUCGAGUUGUUUGGGAAUGCAGCUCAAAUUGGGUGGUAAAUUCCAUCUAAAGCUAAAUAUUGGCGAGAGACCGAUAGCGAACAAGUACCGUGAGGGAAAGAUGAAAAGCACUUUGGAAAGAGAGUUAACAGUACGUGAAAUUGUUGGAAGGGAAACGCUUGAAGUCAGACUUGCUUGCCGGAGCUUGCUUCGGUUUGCAGGCCAGCAUCAGUUUUCCGGGGUGGAUAAUGACGGUUUGAAGGUAGCAGUCUCGGCUGUGUUAUAGCUUUCCGUUGGAUACAUCCUGGGGGACUGAGGAACGCAGCGUGCUUUUUGCGAAAGACUCGUCUUUUUCACGCUUAGGAUGCUGGUGGAAUGGCUUUAAACGACCCGUCUUGAAACACGGAC